ACUCCUACGGGAGGCAGCAGUGGGGAAUAUUGCACAAUGGGCGCAAGCCUGAUGCAGCCAUGCCGCGUGUAUGAAGAAGGCCUUCGGUUGUAAGUACUUUCAGCAGUGAGGAAGGUAGUGUAGUUAAUAGCUGCAUUAUUUGACGUUAGCUGCAGAAGAAGCACCGGCUAACUCCGUGCCAGCAGCCGCGGUAAUACGGAGGGUGCGAGCGUUAAUCGGAAUUACUGGGCGUAAAGCGCAUGCAGGUGGUUUGUUAAGUCAGAUGUGAAAGCCCGGGGCUCAACCUCGGAAUAGCAUUUGAAACUGGCAGACUAGAGUACUGUAGAGGGGGGUAGAAUUUCAGGUGUAGCGGUGAAAUGCGUAGAGAUCUGAAGGAAUACCGGUGGCGAAGGCGGCCCCCUGGACAGAUACUGACACUCAGAUGCGAAAGCGU
rnacentral:rRNA from 1 species